rnacentral:sRNA from 1 species
ACCCGAUGGCCUGGCCAGCCGCUGACUGACUGUUGACGCAAGCCGCUGACCUUGAACUCCAGUGUUCAGGGUUUCCAGUCGUAUCAACACACUGCCAUCCACAAGUUCUGGCUCACAGAGGACUGCUGGUUGCAAGCCAACUUGUAUCUGGGUCUUCAAGAUUUUGACUUUGAGGACCAGAGGCCCUAUUGCUUCAGCGUUGUAGCCGGCUAUGGGAAGAGCCAUGUUUUCAACGUGGAGCUUGGCAGCGAGCUGGCCGUGUGGGAGAAGUCCUUCCAAAGAGCCACAUUCCUGGAAGUGCAGAGAACCAGGUCCAGAACAUACAUGUGCAGCUGGCAAGGAGAGAUGCUGUGUUUCACGGUGGAUUUCGCAUUGGGAUUUACCUGUUUUGAGAGUAAGACAAAGAAUGUGCUCUGGAGAUUUAAAUUUUCCCAGCUUAAGGGAUCUUCAGAUGAUGGGAAAACUCGAGUAAAGCUGCUGUUUCAGAACCUGGACACUAAACAGAUUGAGACGAAGGAACUUGAGUUCCAGGACCUGACGGCUGUCCUGCACUGCAUCCACUCCUUCAUAGCAGCCAAGGUGGCCUCCGUGGACCCCGGCUUCAUGGACAGUCAGAGUCUUG